rnacentral:rRNA from 1 species
GAUGAACGCUGGCGGCGUGCCUAACACAUGCAAGUCGAGCGAGAAACCUGCAAUUGAAACUUCGGUAGAUUUUGCGGGCGGAAAGCGGCGGACGGGUGAGUAACGCGUAGGCAACCUGCCCUUUGCAGAGGGAUAGCAACGGGAAACUGUUAUUAAAACCUCAUAAUACCGACAUGUCAAAUGACAAGACGGUCAAAGAUUUAUCGGCAAAGGAUGGGCCUGCGUCUGAUUAGUUAGUUGGUAGGGUAACGGCCUACCAAGGCAGCGAUCAGUAGCCGACCUGAGAGGGUGAUCGGCCACAUUGGAACUGAGACACGGUCCAAACUCCUACGGGAGGCAGCAGUGGGGAAUAUUGCACAAUGGGCGAAAGCCUGAUGCAGCAACGCCGCGUGAAGGAUGAAGGCCUUUGGGUCGUAAACUUCUGUCCUUGGGGAAGAAAAAAAUGACGGUACCCCUGGAGGAAGUCCCGGCUAACUACGUGCCAGCAGCCGCGGUAA